rnacentral:lncRNA from 12 species
AUGAAGGUUCCCCAGGAGGCGCUGGCGGGAAAGACGUUUCUAUCUAAACUUCUCUCGUCCUGGAUGGUCAGCUUCUGCAUGACGCUGGCAGGAACAGAAAUAACGAGAACAGGAAGGCCAGAGUCAAAGUUGAACACCUCCAUCCGACAAGACACAGGGCUCCAUGAUGUCAAUGGAAUGACCAGAGAAUCUGAGCAAACACCCAAGACGAGAUCAAAAGGUCCUUCAGCUCUCUAUUCUCAAGGCUCCAGGCAGCCUGCCCUCCGUGUGGCCGCCACGCCUCACCGGCCAGCCCCGGGUGACAGGACGUACGCAGCACGAGGAUGCCUGUGCCCAGCUCAAGAUGCAACCCACUGGAUGUUUUGGGGUAUUUAUCAUUUUGGGGCAUUUAUCUUGUCCCCUAGAAAGAGGUCUUCACCAUAUUUCAUACCAGGAGUAUUUGACGUGAAAUAGAAAAGAUGUGCCAAAUCCCACAUUUGUCGCCAAGGUCAGAAAUGAGGCACAGCUUCCCAAGUCCUGCACCACACGCGUGCAUGGCAGCCAGCUCUGCUCCAGGGCCCCCACUGCCGGCGGAGACCAGCCAUGAGGAGCCAGCCCAGGAGACCAAGCACAUUCCAGCUGCUGCUCACGGGGCAUAGUGCAGGGUCACAGCCACCAGGUCACUUCCGAAAUCCCUGUGCUUCUUCCCUGGACGUCCCCCCAGAAAGCCGUUCUCCACAAACCACGCCCAUCAGAUUAUAAUGGCAAAGCAUUAUCUUUUCCACUGAAAAUUAUACAGAAACCCCCUUUGUGUCAAGUUCUGUUGCUGUUGACCUUAGCUCCAAAAUAUGCCAGAAAGGAAUGUCCUGAGCAGGAAUGUACUUCCUGUGGCAAACACUUGGGGCUAGGAAGCCCUGCCCCUCUUUCUCUGAAAUAAUAAAUCCACAUUUUCCAUCCUAGGAUCA